rnacentral:rRNA from 1 species
ACGAACGCUGGCGGCGUGCUUAACACAUGCAAGUCGAGCGAGGGGCUUCGGCUCCUAGCGGCGAACGGGUGAGUAACACGUGGGCAACCUGCCCCGAGCUCUGGAAUAACUUCGGGAAACCGGGGCUAAUGCCGGAUAUGACACUACUGGGCAUCUGGUGGUGUGGAAAGAUUUAUCGGCUCGGGAUGGGCCCGCGGCCUAUCAGCUUGUUGGUGGGGUGAUGGCCUACCAAGGCGACGACGGGUAGCCGGCCUGAGAGGGCGACCGGCCACACUGGGACUGAGACACGGCCCAGACUCCUACGGGAGGCAGCAGUGGGGAAUAUUGCGCAAUGGGCGAAAGCCUGACGCAGCGACGCCGCGUGGGGGAUGACGGCC